rnacentral:rRNA from 1 species
CCUACGGAAGGCAGCAGUGGGGAAUAUUGGACAAUGGGCGCAAGCCUGAUCCAGCCAUGCCGCGUGUGUGAAGAAGGUCUUCGGAUUGUAAAGCACUUUAAGUUGGGAGGAAGGGUAGUAACUUAAUACGUUGCUACUUUGACGUUACCGACAGAAUAAGCACCGGCUAACUCUGUGCCAGCAGCCGCGGUAAU